rnacentral:misc_RNA from 1 species
GGAUGAAGAACGUAGCAAAAUGCGAUAAGUAAUGUGAAUUGCAGAAAUUCCGUGAAUCAUCAAAUCUUUGAACGCACAUUGCGCCUUCUGGUAAUCCGGAAGGCAUGCCUGUCUGAGCGUCAUUACACCAUUCAAACUUAUCUUUUAUUAGAUAUAGAUUGGUUUUGGGAAUAGAUGGAUUGGCAUUCUUGUCAACUUUCUUUCCUGUAAUGCAUUGACGAUUGUCUACUGUUUCUUAGUUGUAGCAUGUAUUUUCUCAACUUCAAGAUAAUAGUAUGAUAUCUUACUUUUGUGAUUACUUCUUUAUUGAAGUUAUCUUUCUAAAGUUUGACCUCAGAUCAGGUAGGGAUACCCGCUGAACUUAAGCAUAUCAAUAAGCGGAGGA